rnacentral:rRNA from 1 species
UACGGAGGGUGCAAGCGUUGUCCGGAAUCACUGGGCGUAAAGGGCGCGUAGGCGGCUCAUGAAGGCUGUGGUGAAAGUCCGGGGCUCAACCUCGGAUCGGCCGUGGCGACUCGUGGGCUGGAGCACUGUAGAGGCGGGUGGAAUUCCGGGUGUAGCGGUGGAAUGCGUAGAGAUCCGGAAGAACACCCGUGGCGAAGGCGGGUCUCUGGGCCGAUACUGACGCUGAGGAGCGAAAGCGUGGGGAGCGAACAGG